UACGUAGGGGGCGAGCGUUGUCCGGAUUUAUUGGGCGUAAAGAGCGUGUAGGCGGCCAGGUAGGUCUGCUGUGAAAACUCGAGGCUCAACCUCGAGACGUCGGCGGAAACCAUCUGGCUAGAGUCCGGAAGAGGAGAGUGGAAUUCCUGGUGUAGCGGUGAAAUGCGCAGAUAUCAGGAAGAACACCUGUGGCGAAGGCGGCUCUCUGGGACGGUACUGACGCUGAGACGCGAAAGCGUGGGGAGCGAACAGG
rnacentral:rRNA from 1 species